UACGGAGGGGGCUAGCGUUGUUCGGAAUUACUGGGCGUAAAGCGCGGGCAGGCGGCCCCGUAAGUCGGCCGUGAAAGCGCCGGGCUCAACCCGGCGAGGACGGGCGAGACUGCAGGGCUCGAGCAAGGUAGAGGGCGGUGGAAUUCCGGGUGUAGUGGUGGAAUGCGUAGAGCUCCGGAGGAACACCAGUGGCGAAGGCGGCCGCCUGGGCCUUUGCUGACGCUGAGCCGCGAAAGCGUGGGGAGCGAGCCGG
rnacentral:rRNA from 1 species